GUUAAUGCUGGAAGAAGAUAGGAAAGGCAGUAGAGGAGAGCGGCGCGUAGACAAUAGGAUCGUCUGCGAUGUCAGUAGGUUACAGAGGAGCAACAACAGCCUAGGUUUCAAGAGGAGGAGGAGCAGUAACAAACUCAGGAGUCUUAGGAUCAGAACGAACAUCAGGGCAGGUAUCCCAAGUAUCCUCUUCAGUUAGCUGACAUCAUUGCUUAGGCUAUAGCAGCAAGCGUAACAACUGUACUUUAGAAUCAGCCACAGUUUCAGCAGGCACCUGUGCCAAUACCGAUAGUUCAGGCUAACCCUUGGGAGAAGGCUAGGAAUUCUUUCACAAAGGGGAGCCCAUCUGAGUUCUCAGGCUCCACCGAUGUGAGUGUGGCUCAUCAGUGGAAGAAAGAUAUAGAGCGUCAUCUUCACAUGGUUAAGUACACAGAGGUUCAGAAACAAAUACUUGCUACCUUCAAGCUUGUCAGAGAUGAACUCCAGCCUUGGAAGAAGCACAAGAAUGAUUCAAAUGUUCAGAGAAAUAGGGCACCUAUUCAGAGGCAGCAGAAUAGGGCACUACAAUCAGUACAGGGUCAACCUCAGGGUAACUAGCAGAAGAAACAGUUUGCACUUUUAGAGGCUUUUGUUAUGGUUAUGGAAAGCUCGGGCACACAUCUAAGAGGUGUCCCAAGGCUAUGUAGGGAUAUCAUAUGCAGCAGGGGCAGCGAACCACCAUUUCCCUUAACUGUUCCACAGGUGCCACGCAUUCAGGGAUAGGUGUUCCCGGCUUUAACAGCACCACCACCACCACGGGGACAGGCACCGCAGUAGUUGCAUUAUGGCAGGGUGUAUAAUCACAUGCCAAAGGACGUUCAGAUUCUUCAGGCUAUUAAGGGUACAUGAUUCAAGAUUCGGAAAUUUGCACUUCCUUGGGGGAUUUGGAGAUUUGAAGUUUCUUUUAAAGCAUUCUUGUUCACAUGCAAGUGUUAGCAUGUUUAAGUUUCACUUUUAAUGUUGUAAUAUUUAGUUAAGUUCAAUUAUGUUAUUUUUUCCUUAUAACAUGUAAAGUGUACUUGGAUACACUAUUUGGAACCUAAUUGAUAUGUAUGACAUGAGGCUAAGGGCCAUAAACUUCAA